rnacentral:rRNA from 1 species
GACGAACGCUGGCGGCGUGCUUAACACAUGCAAGUCGAGCGGAAAGGCCCUGCUUUUGUGGGGUGCUCGAGUGGCGAACGGGUGAGUAACACGUGAGUAACCUGCCCUUGACUUUGGGAUAACUUCAGGAAACUGGGGCUAAUACCGGAUAGGAGCUCCUGCUGCAUGGUGGGGGUUGGAAAGUUUCGGCGGUUGGGGAUGGACUCGCGGCUUAUCAGCUUGUUGGUGGGGUAGUGGCUUACCAAGGCUUUGACGGGUAGCCGGCCUGAGAGGGUGACCGGCCACAUUGGGACUGAGAUACGGCCCAGACUCCUACGGGAGGCAGCAGUGGGGAAUAUUGCACAAUGGGCGGAAGCCUGAUGCAGCAACGCCGCGUGCGGGAUGACGGCCUUCGGGUUGUAAACCGCUUUCGCCUGUGACGAAGCGUGAGUGAUGGUAAUGGGUAAAGAAGCACCGGCUAACUACGUG